rnacentral:rRNA from 1 species
GACGAACGCUGGCGGCGUGCCUAAUACAUGCAAGUCGAACGCAGUUGCGCACGGGUGAGUGACGCGUAUGUGGCUUCCUCGUAGCGGGGGGUUACUAUUUGGAACGAUAGCUAAUACCGCAUACUGUAAGCUGGACCUGCGUUGUAUUAGCUAGUUGGAGAGGUAAAGGCUCACCAAGGCGACGAUACCUAGCCGCCCUGAGAGGGUGAUCGGCCACACGGGGACUGAGACACGGCCCAGACUCCUACGGGAGGCAGCAGUAGGGAAUCUUGCGCAAUGGACGGAAGGCUGACCGAGCAACGCCGCGGGUGUGAAGAAGGUUUUCGGAUCGUAAAGCUCUGUUGUUAGAGAAGGGGUAACUAACAAGAAAGGGACGGCUAACUACGUGCAAGCAGCGGCGGAAUUC